AUUGAACGCUGGCGGAAUGCUUUACACAUGCAGGUCGAGCGGCAGCACGGGGGUAACCCUGGUGGCGAGCGGCGAACGGGUGAGUAAUACAUCGGAACAUGCCCAGUCGUGGGGGAUAACACUUCGAAAGAAGUGCUAAUACCGCAUACGUCCUGAGGGAGAAAGCGGGGGAUCGCAAGACCUCGCGCGAUUGGAGUGGCCGAUGUCAGAUUAGCUAGUUGGUGGGGUAAAGGCCUACCAAGGCAACGAUCUGUAGCUGGUCUGAGAGGAUGAUCAGCCACACUGGGACUGAGACACGGCCCAGACUCCUACGGGAGGCAGCAGUGGGGAAUUUUGGACAAUGGGGGCAACCCUGAUCCAGCCAUUCCGCGUGAGUGAAGAAGGCCUUCGGGUUGUAAAGCUCUUUCGGCAGGAACGAAACGGUGAGCUCUAACAUAGCUUGCUAAUGACGGUACCUGAAGAAGAAGCACCGGCUAACUACGUG
rnacentral:rRNA from 1 species